GAAUAAAUCAUCUAAUGGUAAGAUUCCUGACUUUUAAUCAGUUUAUAUAGGUUCGAUUCCUAUUUUAUUCA